rnacentral:lncRNA from 1 species
GCAUGUAAUAAUUAAGGGACGCCAAGAGUUGGCAUCCCAUGGAGUUGCCCCAUGUUUCCUAUUUAUAGGGGGUGCCACAAUCUAUUUUAACUUGCCAUUUUUGGCUGAGAAUGGGAGUGGAAAUGAGAGGAAAUAAUGAAAAAAAAAUCUGAGAAAAAGAUAAGAAAAAGAAAAGGAGAAAAAAAUAGAAAAGAAGGGAGA